AUGGCGACCUCCUCUCUUGCUCCGCCUGAGGUGCCCAUGGAGCUGCAUGCGGGCAACCGUGACCGCCUCUUAACCGCACUUCGUGCCCGCCUCUCCGCCACCGCUAGCCCUCCCCGUGGCCUUGCCCUCCUCCAGGGCGGUGAGGAGCAGACACGACACUGCACUGAUCAUCUCGAGCUGUUUAGGCAGGAGAGCUACUUUGCUUAUCUCUUCGGAGUGCGUGAGCCAGGGUUCUAUGGCGCUAUAGACAUCGCCUCUGGACAAUCGAUUUUGUUUGCUCCAAGGUUGCCACCUGACUAUGCUGUCUGGAUGGGUGAAAUAAAACCACUCCCUUAUUUUAAGGAUAGGUACAAGGUCGAUUUGGUCUUCUAUGUCGAUGAGAUUGUGCAGGUUCUGCAAGAUCGAUUCAGUCAGCAUGGAAAGCCUGUGUUGUUUCUCUUGUAUGGAAAGAGUACUGACAGCGGAAAUUACUCAAAGCCUGCUAGUUUUGAAGGGAUAGAGAAGUUUGACACCGAUUUGGGUACACUCCACCCUAUCUUAACUGAAUGUCGUGUUAUCAAAUCUGAAAUGGAGCUUGCCCUCAUUCAAUAUGCCAAUGAUGUUAGCUCAGAAGCACACAUUGAGGUUAUGAGACAGGCAAAACCAGGCAUGAAGGAAUAUCAGUUAGAAAGCAUAUUUCUUCAUCAUUCUUAUAGGUAUGGAGCCUGUCGACAUUGCUCCUACACAUGCAUAUGCGCUACCGGAGAGAAUAGUUCUAUUCUUCAUUAUGGACAUACGGCUGCUCCAAAUGACCGGACGCUGAAUGAUGGAGACAUGGCUCUAAUGGACAUGGGAGCUGAAUAUAAUUUCUAUGGCUCUGACAUCACAUGUUCAUACCCCAUAAAUGGGAAGUUCAACAGCAACCAGGCAACAGUAUACAAUUCUGUCCUUAAGGCUCAUAAUGCUGUCAUAUCACACAUGCAGCCUGGAGUAAAAUGGGUUGAUAUGCACAAGCUGGCCGAGCAGACAAUACUUGAAUCUCUCAAGAAUGAAAAGAUUAUCCAUGGUGAUAUUGCUGAUAUGAUGACUCGAAGGUUGGGUGCUGUUUUCAUGCCUCAUGGUCUUGGGCACUUGCUUGGAAUUGACACCCAUGAUCCCGGAGGCUACCCUGAGGGCUUAGAGAGGCCAAAGGAGCCAGGACUGAGCUCCUUGCGGACCAUAAGAGAACUUAAAGAAGGCAUGGUUAUUACGGUUGAGCCAGGCUGUUAUUUCAUCGAUGCUUUGCUGCGGCCUGCCAGGGAUGAUCCAGUUUCCUCAAAAUUCUUCAACUGGGAAGAGAUUGAGAAGUACAAAAGUUUUGGUGGUGUUCGUAUUGAAAGUGAUCUGUAUGUGACGGCACAAGGAUGCAAGAACCUGACAAACUGCCCCCGGGAGACCUGGGAAAUCGAAGCGGUAAUGGCUGGCGCGCCAUGGCCUCCACGUGCUUCCGUGACAAGAGCAGAGAACGGACUGCCCAAAGCCUGA
rnacentral:rRNA from 1 species